CGGCGGAUCAGCCCGCGCCCCGUAAAACGGGACGGCCCGCCGCAGGAAACCCUAAACUCUGUUUUUAGUGGAACUUUCUGAGUAUAAAAAACAAAUAAAUCAAAACUUUCAACAACGGAUCUCUUGGUUCUGGCAUCGAUGAAGAACGCAGCAAAAUGCGAUAAGUAAUGUGAAUUGCAGAAUUCAGUGAAUCAUCGAAUCUUUGAACGCACAUUGCGCCCGCCAGUAUUCUGGCGGGCAUGCCUGUUCGAGCGUCAUUUCAACCCUCAAGCCCAGCUUGGUGUUGGGAUCUGUCCUUACCGACAGUCCCCAAAUUGAUUGGCGGUCACGUCGAGCUUCCAUAGCGUAGUAAUUUACACAUCGUUACUGGUAAUCGUCGCGGCCACGCCGUUAAACCCCAACUUCUGAAUGUUGACCUCGGAUCAGGUAGGAAUACCCGCUGAACUUAAGCAUAUC
rnacentral:rRNA from 1 species